CUACGUGCCAGCAGCCGCGGUAAUACGUAGGGUGCGAGCGUUAAUCGGAAUUACUGGGCGUAAAGCGAGCGCAGACGGUUACUUAAGCAGGAUGUGAAAUCCCCGGGCUCAACCUGGGAACUGCGUUCUGAACUGGGUGACUAGAGUGUGUCAGAGGGAGGUAGAAUUCCACGUGUAGCAGUGAAAUGCGUAGAGAUGUGGAGGAAUACCGAUGGCGAAGGCAGCCUCCUGGGAUAACACUGACGUUCAUGCUCGAAAGCGCGGGUAGCAAACAGGAUUAGAUACCCUGGUAGUCCACGCCCUAAACGAUGUCAAUUAGCUGUUGGGCAACUUGAUUGCUUAGUAGCGUAGCUAACGCGUGAAAUUGACCGCCUGGGGAGUACGGUCGCAAGAUUAAAACUCAAAGGAAUUGACGGGGACCCGCACAAGCGGUGGAUGAUGUGGAUUAAUUCGAUGCAACGCGAAGAACCUUACCUGGUCUUGACAU
rnacentral:rRNA from 1 species